GACGAACGCUGGCGGCGUGCCUAAUACAUGCAAGUUGAGCGCUGAAGGUUGGUACUUGUACCAACUGGAUGAGCAGCGAACGGGUGAGUAACGCGUGGGGAAUCUGCCUUUGAGCGGGGGACAACAUUUGGAAACGAAUGCUAAUACCGCAUAAAAACUUUAAACACAAGUUUUAAGUUUGAAAGAUGCAAUUGCAUCACUCAAAGAUGAUCCCGCGUUGUAUUAGCUAGUUGGUGAGGUAAAGGCUCACCAAGGCGAUGAUACAUAGCCGACCUGAGAGGGUGAUCGGCCACAUUGGGACUGAGACACGGCCCAAACGCCUACGGGAGGCAGCAGUAGUGAAUCUUCGGCAAUGGACGAAAGUCUGACCGAGCAACGCCGCGGGAGUGAAGAAGGUUUUCGGAUCGUAAAACUCUGUUGGUAGAGAAGAACGUUGGUGAGAGUGGAAAGCUCAUCAAGUGACGGUAACUACCCAGAAAGGGACGGCUAACUACGUG
rnacentral:rRNA from 1 species